rnacentral:rRNA from 1 species
GAUGAACGCUGGCGGCGUGCCUAACACAUGCAAGUCGAGCGAGGGUUUGCUCAGUAUUGAGUAUUCUAAGUCUAGAAUGUUCAAUUCUGAGCAAAACCAAGCGGCGGACGGGUGAGUAACGCGUGGGUAACCUGCCCUAUACACAUGGAUAACAUACUGAAAAGUUUACUAAUACAUGAUAAUAUAUAUUUGCGGCAUCGCAGAUAUAUCAAAGUGUUAGCGGUAUAGGAUGGACCCGCGUCUGAUUAGCUAGUUGGUGAGAUAACUGCCCACCAAGGCGACGAUCAGUAGCCGACCUGAGAGGGUGAUCGGCCACAUUGGAACUGAGACACGGUCCAAACUCCUACGGGAGGCAGCAGUGGGGAAUAUUGCACAAUGGGCGAAAGCCUGAUGCAGCAACGCCGCGUGAACGAUGAAGGUCUUCGGAUCGUAAAGUUCUGUUGCAGGGGAAGAUAAUGACGGUACCCUGUGAGGAAGCCCCGGCUAACUACGUGCCAGCAGUCGCGGUAAUACGUAGGGGGCUAGCGUUAUCCGGAUUUACUGGGCGUAAAGGGUGCGUAGGUGGUCCUUCAAGUCGGUGGUUAAAGGCUACGGCUCAACCGUAGUAAGCCGCCGAAACUGGAGGACUUGAGUGCAGGAGAGGAAAGUGGAAUUCCCAGUGUAGCGGUGAAAUGCGUAGAUAUUGGGAGGAACACCAGUAGCGAAGGCGGCUUUCUGGACUGCAACUGACACUGAGGCACGAAAGCGUGGGUAGCAAACAGG